AGUGCUGAGCUGGUUGCAGACUUUGCCAGGCAAAUCUACGGCAUGACCUCACGCACCUAUUGCUUUGACAAAGCCUUGCCUGAUCCAUGCCACAAGGAGUGGGUGUCCAUUCCAAGCUACAGCACCAGCAAGAUGAACAGAAAGGACAUGCUCAGGGUGUCGGCCUAUGGCGGAUCUCUUUGAGAUUUUUUGGUGCGAGGGUCCGGGUCUUGCUUGUCUGACUACGCUCAAACACUAUGUACUCUAGACUAUUGCACCUGUGAGGCCCGUCCGCCAGAACUCUGGACUUAUAACUUACAAUUACAUCAUUGAUAAAUGAGAAUUUAAAAUGUCUGAUACUGACUUAUAUAUGUCUGUCUCUGGCACUUAUUUGCAUUGGUGGAGUAGAUUAUCAUAAGUGCUAUUUAUCUAUAAUAUAAUUAA